UACGAAGGGGGCUAGCGUUGUUCGGAAUUACUGGGCGUAAAGCGCACGUAGGCGGGGCUGUAAGUAGAGGGUGAAAUCCCAGGGCUCAACCCUGGAACUGCCUUCUAGACUGCAGGCCUCGAGGUCAGGAGAGGCGAGUGGAAUACCGAGUGUAGAGGUGAAAUUCGUAGAUAUUCGGUGGAACACCAGUGGCGAAGGCGACUCGCUGGCUCGAUACUGACGCUGAGGUGCGAAAGCGUGGGGAGCAAACAGG
rnacentral:rRNA from 1 species